GCUUUCCUAUGCCUCAAUCGGUAGAGAUUUGUGCUAACAAUGUAAAGGUUGUGGGUUCUAAUCCCAGGGAAAGCC